AUCACUUCUCGGCCUUUUGGCUAAGAUCAGGCGUA
rnacentral:snRNA from 1 species